rnacentral:piRNA from 1 species
UGAAGCUUUGAGACGUGCUUUUGUUGGUUAU